rnacentral:rRNA from 1 species
UACAGAGGUCCCAAGCGUUGUUCGGAUUCAUUGGGCGUAAAGGGUGCGUAGGCGGCGCCGUAAGUCGGAUGUGAAAUCUCGGGGCUCAACCCUGAAACUGCAUUCGAUACUGCGGUGCUAGAGGACUCUAGAGGAAACUGGAAUUCACGGUGUAGCAGUGAAAUGCGUAGAUAUCAGGAGGAACACCGAUGGCGAAGGCAGCCCCCCUGGGCUAACACUGACGCUCAUGCACGAAAGCGUGGGGAGCAAACAGG